UGGGGAAUCUUCCGCAAUGGACGAAAGUCUGCCGGAGCAACGCCGCGUGAGUGAAGAAGGCCUUCGGGUUGUAAAGCUCUGUUAUUCGGGAAGAACGAUUCGUUUGUGAACAAUGAACGGAAGUGACGGUACCGAAAGAGAAAGCCACGGCUAACUACGUGCCAGCAGCCGCGGUAAUACGUCGGUGGCAAGCGUUGUCCGGAAUUAUUGGGCGUAAAGAGCGCGUAGGCGGUAUGAUAAGUCUGUCUUAGAAGUGCGGGGCUUAACCGCGUGAGGGGACAUAGACUGUCAUACUAGAGGCUCGGAGAGGAGAGCGGAAUUCCUAGUGUAGCGGUGAAAUGCGUAGAGAUUAGGAAGAACACCGGUGGCGAAGGCGGCUUUCUGGACGAGCACUGACGCUGAGGCGCGAAAGCGUGUGGAGCGAACAGG
rnacentral:rRNA from 1 species